rnacentral:rRNA from 1 species
GAUCCUGGCUCAGGACGAACGCUGGCGGCGUGCUUAACACAUGCAAGUCGAACGAUGAAAGAGAAUCCGAUCUCUUCGGAGUGAAGAAUCUCUGGAUUAGUGGCGGACGGGUGAGUAACGCGUGAGCAAUCUGCCUUACACAAAGGGAUAGCCUCGGGAAACCGGGAUUAAUACCAUAUGAUAUCACAUUUUCGCAUGAAGAAGUGAUUAAAGAAUUUCGGUGUAAG